GGGCUAUUAGCUCAAUUGGCAGAGCAGACGACUCUUAAUCGCCAGGUUGAAGGUUCGAGUCCUUCAUAGCCCACCA
rnacentral:tRNA from 1 species